ensembl:lncRNA
UUUAAAUAUCCAAAAUGGAAUAUCACAUUUGUUUUAAUCAAAAAGCACUAAUGUAUCUUGCAAUUUUAUCAAUUCACAGUCAGAAUUUCUCCACUGUGGAAAACAUUUCAGCAGUGGAAGCAUCAUCUCAGGAAAACAUGUCAACAGGUGAAUAUUCAAUUUGGUAAUUGUAAAAUGUAUGUGAUAAUUGAAAAAAUUUAUAUAAGCAUGGUUGUAAUUAUAAUACCUCAUUGUAAAUGUAAAAUGUAUCUUUUCUCCAGAUGUCUCAAAACAUGGGGAGAAAAUGGACAUGAAGGCCAAGCUGAUCUCUGAUGGUCAGUCAGGGAAGUCAGAGGAAGACGGGCAGAAAUUAUUGGCCGAGAACCGACGGAACUGCAAUCGGAGAAAUCGCAGAAGAGCUGCACGGCUGGCUCGGGUGAGGGACCUCUUUGCCCAAAGAGGUGGAGGGGCGAAUGGCACUGAAAGAGAUGAAUCGCCUCCAGAAGCAAAUCGGGCACCUCAAGAAGAAACUGUAAAGGAGAAGCAGUCAGAUAUGCAAUCAUUUUCUGAGGCUAUUAGCAAAUCAGAAGCUUUUCCACUUGUUUCUGAAUCAUGCAGGGAACCCAUCUGUGAUGUUCCAAAUGAUACGUCACCAGCACAUGACUUCACAUCUAACAGUGAGCCAGGGAAAUCUGAGAGCAUCAAUGUGGCUGACUCAGCCACAUUAACAGGAGGUGAGAGUGUCACAGAUAUCCCAGACAACAGCUUGCACUCAAAUGAUGAUCCUGCUGCUGCAGAGCACCAACGUAUCAACAAGUCUGUCUCAAAAGCUGAGAAAAGCAGUCAGAAGCAAGGCACAAGUCACGAUUGUACAUCCAACACUGCAGCUGAACCAGCUGACAGUCUUAUUUCAGCACUGAGCACUGAGAGUCUUGUUAGCAAGAGCAGCAGCUUCACAUUUGGAACCGUGGUGGCUCCGCUGUAUCAUCAGGUGUCUGGCAAAGUGGGAAGUGAAAGUCAGAGCGUAGGUGAUUGGGGGAAUCCGGUCCAGGCUACACUGAAUGUUGGAGACUUAACUCAUGCUGAAAGAAGAGACACCAGCUGCACUGUUCAAACAAGUGCUCACAGAGUUCAAGUACAUGUGGUUAAGACUGAAGAAUCAAAGCAAGAAUCCUUAGAUGCCACUCUGAAGAAUCCUCCUGCUGAAGAAGAUGAAAAAAGUUUGAGUAUGACAGCAAAUGACGCCCGGAACCAUGCAGAAACUCAAAAAAAACAUUCAGGAGACACAGUAAUAAGUCCACACACUGUGAACACUUUAAAUGCAGAACUGUCAAAUCCACAAAAACCCACAGAGAGUUUACAUCUCCAGGGAGAAGCACAGGAAGACAAUUCAACCCAUGACCUCCGAAGCCAAACCACAGCAGAAACAGCACAGGCUCAACUGUUGGAGCAUAUGUGUACACAAACUACUACUAAAACCACAACUAAAACUAAUCCAGAUGACAGUUGUGCACAAAGUGAAACAGAGGAUUUCAUGGCCAGUCCAGAAACCUCAUUUAUACCACUCAACAGCUAUGAGUGUGUGGAUGAGUCCAACAAAGACAUAACAAAUGAAAUUUGCAGCACAAUAAUUGAAUCAACAAACAACGGCAUGUCAGAGGAGGAUAAACUAUUGGAAGCUUUACAUGAAUUGAGUCCUAAACACAUCAAUAAUUCAUGUACUAAAGAAACUGAGAGUAGCUAUGUUUCUUGUUUUGAAAUUUUGGAGGAAACAGAUGUCACACCUCAGAUGUCUCUUGAAAAUCACAAAGAAACUAAUGAUGUGGAAGAAGAAAAUGAAGAGGAGAUGAAGAGUAACUAUCACAGGGGCGCUGACACGUUGGUGCAGCUCAAAGAUGAAGACACUUUAAAAGAUAAAGAAAUGAUUGUUUCAGAAGAAAUGGAGGCUGCUGUCUUAAAACAGGAGGAUAUUUGUUUAGCAGACACUGCUGAGGUAAAAAACUGGGAAAUGAUGGUUGAAGAAGAGGAGACGAACAUAUUAACUGAUGAAGAGGAGAGUGUGGCAAUAAGUUCAAAGGCAGAGGAUGCUGAAAAGGUGGAUAAAGACCGAGGACAACAGCUGGAUGACACAGGGAAAGAGACAGCAUUAGAAAAUAGAGAUAUAACAGAGACAGACAACAAGAAAAAAGAGGCAAUGGUGAUGAAGAUUACAGGUGCAAGGGCAAAAGAGAACAAGGCUGAAGAUGCAGAUGCUUCAGGGGACAAACAUUGGAUUGGAGAGGAACGGAUUGUGGAGAUUGUGACAGGGAAAGAUGACGAAGCAUUUGAGAAGGAAUUAAAAUAUGUUCAAGCCAAAAUGACAGCUGGAGAGGAAGAGCUAGCCGAGGAGACUGAGUUAGACAAAAGAGAGGAACAAGACAAUGCAGAGUUUGAGAACGAAGAACUCUUUGCAGAGAUGGAAGAGGUCAGUAUUGAAAGGAUAAAUGUUCAAGGAGAAGAGGAGAAAGAGGGGGAAGGGGAAGUUGAUGUAGACUUGAAUGAUGAUGGUGUGGAAUGGGAGGAUCACGUUAAACCAAGAGAGGAGAAUCCAGAGUACCACGAGGACAAUCUGUUUCAUGAAAUGUCAAGGAUGGAAGAUGCAGGGUUAGAGAGCAUUACAAAAGGAGAUGGUGAAAAGAGAUUAGACGAAAUACAACAUAAGGAUGAUAAUGGUUUAUAUGCUCUGGAUUCUGUGCAGGACAAGAGAAAAAAUGACAAAGACAGUACAGGAGAAACAGGAGGGCAAAAUGCACACAUCCCAACUGAAAUGGAUUUUUGCAAAGAGGGAGCUUUUCAGAGCAACGAGAAUGUUACACAAGACCUCUUCAAAUCCAUGAGAGAUGAGAGUGAAUCUGCUGCUGCAGAGGGAGGUUCGAGCUUUUUAGCAGAUGAACCUGAAAGUGACCAAUUCGGCCACAACAGUGCAUCAGAGUCUGACUCAGACGAUGAGGUGGAGUUGUACAUGCACUGCCUGAGAGCUGUUCACACCGGAGAACAGGCCCAAAAAGAUAGGAACAAAGAAACAAGCGUCAGUGGGGGCAGAAGGCCGUCUGUCAGCAGAAACAAACUGCUGUCUUCACCCAUGCCAUCCAUCAGUGAGUCUCUGGAUGAAGAACCAAACCUCAGCUGCCUUCAGGACAAUGAUGAAGACAUGGAGACAGCAGACUUCCAACCCACUGCUGUAGCUCUGCUACCGUCAAGUGAGGAACAGGAGAGAAUCAACAGAAACGUUUCAUGGUGGAAAGAGACUUUUUCCUGCAGCAGUAUCUCAAAAACAUUGUUGUGCACCACCUUACUAGUGGUAUUUGCAGUUGUGGCCUUCCAUUAUGAUUUUCUUGCCUGUUUUGGGCUGUACCUGAUAUCAGUGAUUUGGCUUUGCCGUCAGGGUGAGAGGCAGCCAGCGAAAAACAACAGCAGGAUAGGUUGA